rnacentral:rRNA from 1 species
GAUUAUGGCUCAGGACGAACGCUGGCGGCGUGCUUAACACAUGCAAGUCGAGCGAUGAAGCUCUUCGGAAGUGGAUUAGCGGCGGACGGGUGAGUAACACGUGGGUAACCUGCCUCAUAGAGGGGAAUAGCCUUUCGAAAGGAAGAUUAAUACCGCAUAAGAUUGUAGUACCGCAUGGUACAGCAAUUAAAGGAGUAAUCCGCUAUGAGAUGGACCCGCGUCGCAUUAGCUAGUUGGUGAGGUAACGGCUCACCAAGGCGACGAUGCGUAGCCGACCUGAGAGGGUGAUCGGCCACAUUGGGACUGAGACACGGCCCAGACUCCUACGGGAGGCAGCAGGUGGGGAAUAUUGCACAAGUGGGGGAAACCCUGAAUGCAGCAACGCCGCGUGAGUGAUGACGGCCUUCGGGUUAGUAAAACUCUGUCGUUUGGGGACGAUAAUGACGGUACCCAAGGAGGAAGCCACGGCUAACUACGUGCCAGCCGCGGC